GACGAACGCUGGCGGCGUGCUUAACACAUGCAAGUCGAACGGAAAGGCCCUGCUUUUGUGGGGUGCUCGAGUGGCGAACGGGUGAGUAACACGUGAGUAACCUGCCCUUGACUUUGGGAUAACUUCAGGAAACUGGGGCUAAUACCGGAUAGGAGCUACUGAUGCAUGGUGGGGGUUGGAAAGUUUCGGCGGUUGGGGAUGGACUCGCGGCUUAUCAGCUUGUUGGUGGGGUAGUGGCUUACCAAGGCUUUGACGGGUAGCCGGCCUGAGAGGGUGACCGGCCACAUUGGGACUGGGAUACGGCCCAGACUCCUACGGGAGGCAGCGGUGGGGAGUAUUGCACAAUGGGCCGCAGCCUGAUGCAGCACCGCCGCGUGCGGGAUGACGGCCUUCGGGUUGUAAACCGCUUUCGCCUGUGACGAAGCCUGAGUGACGGUAAUGGGUAAAGAAGCACCGGCUAACUACGUG
rnacentral:rRNA from 1 species